ACCAAAUUGUGGUUUGGUCAUCCCUAAAUCAUCCAUCAUUUGUUUAGCGAUAUAUGAAAU
rnacentral:sRNA from 1 species